rnacentral:rRNA from 1 species
GGCUCAGGAUGAACGCUAGCUACAGGCUUAACACAUGCAAGUCGAGGGGAAACGAUAUUGGAAGCUUGCUUCUGAUAGGCGUCGACGGCGCACGGGUGAGUAACGCGUAUCCAACCUGCCCAUCACUUGGGGAUAACCUUGCGAAAGUAAGACUAAUACCCAAUGACGUCUCUAGAAGACAUCUGAAAGAGAUUAAAGAUUUAUCGGUGAUGGAUGGGGAUGCGUCUGAUUAGCUUGUUGGCGGGUAACGGCCCACCAAGGCGACGAUCAGUAGGGGUUCUGAGAGGAAGGUCCCCCACAUUGGAACUGAGACACGGUCCAAACUCCUACGGGAGGCAGCAGUGAGGAAUAUUGGUCAAUGGACGAGAGUCUGAACCAGCCAAGUAGCGUGCAGGAUGACGGCCCUAUGGGUUGUAAACUGCUUUUAUAAGGGAAUAAAGUGGGAGUCGUGACUCUUUUUGCAUGUACCUUAUGAAUAAGGACCGGCUAAUUCCGUG